rnacentral:rRNA from 1 species
UAGGAGGCGUCGAGCGGCGGACGGGUGAGUAACGCGUGAGAAUCUACCCAUGAGUGGGGGACAACCCGGGGAAACUCGGGCUAAUACCGCAUACGCCCUACGGGGUAAAGCAGGGGACCUUCGGGCCUUGCGCUGAUGGAUGAGCUCGCGUCGGAUUAGCUUGUUGGUGAGGUAAAGGCUCACCAAGGCGACGAUCCGUAGCUGGUCUGAGAGGAUGAUCAGCCACACCGGGACUGAGACACGGCCCGGACUCCUACGGGAGGCAGCAGUGGGGAAUCUUGGACAAUGGGGGCAACCCUGAUCCAGCCAUGCCGCGUGUGUGAAGAAGGCCUUCGGGUUGUAAAGCACUUUCAGCAGGGAGGAAGGCUUACCCCUAAUACGGGUGAGUACUUGACGUUACCUGCAGAAGAAGCACCGGCUAAUUUCGUGCCAGCAGCCGCGGUAAUACGAAAGGUGCAAGCGUUAAUCGGAAUUACUGGGCGUAAAGCGCGCGUAGGCGGUGUGUUAAGUCGGAUGUGAAAGCCCAGGGCUCAACCUUGGAAUUGCAUCCGAUACUGGCACGCUAGAGUGCAGUAGAGGGAGGUGGAAUUUCCGGUGUAGC